rnacentral:rRNA from 1 species
GUCCACGCUGUAAACGAUGGGCACUAGGUGUUGUGAAUUAUAAAAUUCGCAGUGCCGCAGCUAACGCAUUAAGUGCCCCGCCUGGGGAUUACGGCCGCAAGGCUAAAACUCAAAGGAAUUGACGGGGACCCCGCACAAGCGGUGGAGCAUGUGGUUUAAUUCGACGCAACGCGAAAACCUUACCUGGGUUAAAUCCUUGGGAACCCUUCGGAAAUGAAGGGGUGCUCUGUAUAAGAGAGCCCAAGAGACGGUGCUGCAUGGCUGUCGU